rnacentral:rRNA from 1 species
UAACACGUGGAUAACCUACCUAUAAGACUGGGAUAACUUCGGGAAACCGGAGCCAAUACCGGAUGAUAUUUUGAACCGCAUGGUUCAAAAGUGAAAGACGGUCUUGCUGUCACUUAUAGAUGGAUCCGCGCUGCAUUAGCUAGUUGGUAAGGUAACGGCUUAUCAAGGCAACGAUGCAUAGCCGACCUGAGAGGGUGAUCGGCCACACUGGAACUGAGACACGGUCCAG